rnacentral:lncRNA from 1 species
UUACUUAUUCCGUGCAACCCCAAAUGCCCAUUUGGCUUACCUAAUAUAAGGUAGGAAUGAUGGACCGGGAUGUUCUUUUUAAGUCUUGAGAAUCCUAAAACUAGUGAGAGACCUUUAGUUGCAUUAAUGCUUGUCCAUUAAACUCAAAAACAAUGCUUUGAAAGAUGUCCCAGCUAAGAAUGGUGCUUCAGGAAGCUAAAGAAUAUGCAGAUAGAAGCUUUACUUCGUAAUUGUCCAAGUAACUUGUUUUUGCAGGGAGAAAUAACUGUAAUAUAUUGAUAUUUUUUCAUGCUUUUAAAAAUACAUAUAGAAAAGGUGGACUUUAAAACAAGUUUAAGAUACAACUCUGUUGUCAGAAAAGAUUUGAGUUGUCUUGUUUCAUUCAAACUAAUUGAUCAUCAACUCAAGGUAAUCUUUGGCAACAGCGAGCCUCAUAAUAAAUAAAAGAAAAAAACCCCAGCCUAUUUACUAGGUAUUCUUGACAGGCAUUUGAAAUACUGGUAGUCUGAAAUUAUUUUUGUUUGUAAAUAAAUUCUCUUUCAUAAUCAUGCACAUGUGUGUGCAUACAUGCACUACUUUGGGACAUAUUUAUGAGUGGCAAGACUACAGAAGAGGCUUUUUUCCUUUUAAUACCUUAGAUUUGUAAAUUGACAUUGAAAUGCCCAAGUGACUAACCUGAUUUGGAAAAAUGUUAAGCACCUACCAUAUUCAAAUCGUUGCAGGUAAAUAGCCAAUGAAUCAAUUUUCAAAUAUGGUUAUACAGCAUCUCUUUUUGUUACUGUAAAGCUUAUGGCACUGUAUGAAGUGAGUUUUGUUGUAAGCAUUUCUGAAGGUCUUAAAGAUAAAGUUCAUGGUAAUUUACCCACCUUCAGUUACCUUUAUUCAAGAUUUUUCUACUACUUGGCCCAUUUUUCAGAACAUAUCAUGAACACAAAUAAAAUUACAUUCAAGUUAAUUAAAAAUGUAUCCCUAGAAGUACACUCAUUCUUCAUCCAUCUUGAUCCUUCAUCCUUUGAUCAGGAGCUAUAUUAUCAAUGAGCAACAAAAUAAGAAAAAAGGUGGCAAUCUGUAUCCCCACAAUGGUGAAUUAUUUUAAGAUCUAGUUUACAUCAGAUGAAUUUCUGUAUGCUUGCAUUUGCUCAAAUGAUUUUUUUUUUUUAAACAAAAUAGUUAAAUAAUGUGAAAUAAUGCAGCCUGGGCUCUGUUAAAUAAGGUUAUAUUAAUGCAACUGAAAUGCUGUAUGUCUGUAAUAUUCAUGCUAAAUAUAUACUAGCUUUUUACAAAGGCUUUCUGUAACAUCAGUUAACCUACAGUCUCUGAUGUUCUGUAUAAAAUCCUGUUGGCAAACUGCUUUUGUUAGCGCUGUAGUGUAUGAAAUGGUAAGGUUAUAGACAAAACAAGUUACAGGAUGCAACAGAAGUGUGUUUUUGUUUAUCUUUGCGCUGAGUUCAGAAUAUAGCAGCUUUGGCAAACUACUGCAGCAGAGAAAACGUUUUGUAUAAUGCUUAUAAUGCAAAGUAAUUUGUCUUACAUUCUGUAAAGCAGAGAAAUCAUCAAUGUUGGAUAAGUUUAUUCAAGUUUUAGCAAAGGUUUUAUGUUUCACAGAUUUAAAUAUUAAAGGAGAAAUAUAUAUUUAUAUAGAAGUAUAAUUUUUGAAUGUUUGAGGUUGGAUUUAUUCAGUCAUGAACCAUUUAUUUAUCCACAUUAUGCUUUAUUCCUUUGCUAGCUUGUUUAUCUGUCCAUGCUAUUCCAACAUCUAUUUCUAAUUUGGUUUAGAUGUUUUGAUUCUUUGCUUGCACAAAUAUGGAUGUACAUGCUUUCUGGACCUGAUCAUAAAGUGUAGAGGCAAAACUGUUUUGUCCUUGAUUACCUAGAGCACUAAUAAAAAUUUAAUCAUUAAAUAGUUGUGAUACAGAGAUAGGUCUUGACAUAGUCUUCCUUGGGUCACUGUACAGUAUGAUAGAAACUUUCAGUGAAUUUUUCUAUUUCUUGUUCCUAUUUUCAUUUGUCUUUCAUCAACCAGGAAGCUGCUGUGUGCUAAUAAUUACCUGCAAUAUUUAUAACUGCAGGCAUUGCAAACAUUAACAUUCAGCUGUAUUAGCCUACUGUGUUCACUGUGAAAUUUUCAACAUGGUAAAAAUUUUACAUGAUCAUUUAACCUUACAAGUUUACUUUUUUCAUCACUAAUUUAACACUGAAACCUUUUUUUUUUUUUUGGUCUUUAUUGCGAAUGAACUUGAGCAUAGCAUUGCUUAAUCUUAACUAUAAUAGAUAGACAUAUCCUAAGCAAAGAUUUUUUAACCACUUGAUGAAGGGGGCCAGGCACCAUCCAGUGCAAAGCAUACUGGGCAAAAUCUUAUCCCCACUGCAGUCAGUGCCAAAAUUUUAACUGGUGUUAACAAAAACAGAACCAUCAUUACCAAGGGGUUAAUAUGCUUAGUAACCAUGACAAGAGGUUAUGGGGGAGCACAACAGUGAUUCUCUAUUUCCAUAUCUUUGUUUCUGUUAAUUUAAAACUACUACUAUUCAAUCUUUAAAAUAAGUAAAAGAAACUUGAAGGGGGGAUCAUAUACUACUAGUUUGUAUUAGUUUUUUUCAGGAAAAGGAAACAAAUUUAUAUAUAUAUAUAUGCUAUAUAUUUUUACACUGUUUAUUAAUGCUAGAAAGUAUUAAAUGUAUCACUUUAUCAGUGUGAAUGUUAAAGUAAUGACAAUGUUAUGGAUGUUUUAAACCUUUUAGAGUUGUCUUGUUAAAUUCUAAACCCACAUUAACAAUGGAAAAGCUACUUUGUCUGCAACGUUAUUGUUGAUGUUUUAGGGAAAAAGUUCAAGUACAGCAGUUGUUCGAUUAGCACUGUAAAAGCUUGGCUUGAAAAAUCUGUAGUGAAACCCAUAUUGUAAACACCAUUUUUUAAAGCAUAGCUUCUCAUAAAGUACAUUACUGCUGUUACUGACUGUAUAAGAUUUUAUCUUUAGUUGGUAAAGUGAUCAAUAAAUGUGUUACUACAUCA